AAGCAAUGCAAUAGAAACUUUCUUUUUCCAUGAGAAACAUCCCUGCAGUGGGUUGUUCCUAUCGAUAGGAGGUUACACAU
ensembl:snoRNA